CUUAAAGCUUAGAAGAGGAAUAGUAACUUGCAGAACAUCUUUCAGAGAAUCGGUUAAAGGGUGGAAGCCGGUAGAUGUUAGUCUUGUGAACUCGCCUUGGAGCUAGAAGGUGAACACCAGCAGGCUUGGUGCUAGCCGGAUCGUCUCACCCGCGUUAAGGGGCAGAGUGAACACAGGCAAAGAAUGUCUUGUGUUAACUAGGGUGGUACCACGGGAAUCUUACCUCUCGUCCCUAGC
rnacentral:ncRNA from 1 species